UCCAGCUUAUCACUGGCGGUCCCUCUAGAGAUCCACUUGCGUGGCAACUAAAGGCGAGGGUUGCGCUCGUUGCGGGACUUAACCCAACAUCUCACGACACGAGCUGACGACAGCCAUGCAGCACCUGUCUCUUCGCUCCCUUUCGGGCACAUCCACCUCUCAGCGGACUUCGGUACAUGUCAAGGGUAGGUAAGGUUUUUCGCGUUGCAUCGAAUUAAUCCACAUAAUCCACCGCUUGUGCGGGUCCCCGUCAAUUCCUUUGAGUUUUAAUCUUGCGACCGUACUCCCCAGGCGGAAUGCUUAAAGCGUUAGCUGCGCCACUAGUGAGUAAACCCACUAACGGCUGGCAUUCAUCGUUUACAGCGUGGACUAC
rnacentral:misc_RNA from 1 species